rnacentral:rRNA from 1 species
UCUACCUAGUAGUAUAGGAUAGCCACUAGAAGUGGUGGGUAAUACUGUAUAAUCCCUGCGGGGGAAAGAUUUAUCGCUACAUGAUGAGCCUAUGUUAGAUUAGCUAGUUGGUGGGGUAAAGGCCUACCAAGGCAGUGAUCUAUAGCUGGUCUGAGAGGAUGAUCAGCCACACUGGAACUGAGACACGGUCCAGACUCCUACGGGAGGCAGCAGUGGGGAAUAUUGGACAAUGGGCGCAAGCCUGAUCCAGCUAUGCCGCGUGAGUGAGGAAGGCCUUAGGGUUGUAAAACUCUUUCAGUGGGGAAGAUGAUGACGGUACCCACAGAAGAAGUCCCGGCAAACUCCGUGCCAGCAGCCGCGGUAAUACGGAGGGGGCAAGCGUUGUUCGGAAUUAUUGGGCGUAAAGGGCAUGUAGGUGGUUUGGUUAGUUAAAGGUGAAAUGCCAGGGCU